rnacentral:rRNA from 1 species
AUUGAACGCUGGCGGCAGGCCUAACACAUGCAAGUCGAGCGAGAGGCGGACGGGUGAGGAAUGGAUGGGGAUCUGCCCGAAAGAGGGGGAUAACUAAUGGAAACGGUGGAUAAUACGGCAUCCUGUCGGAUUAACCAAGAUGGGAUUAGCUAGUAGGUAAGGUAAUGGCUUACCUAGGCGACGAGCCCUAGCUGGUCUGAGAGGAUGAUCAGCCACACUGGGAAUGAGACACGGUCCAGACUCCUACGUGAGGCAGCAGUGGGGAAUAUUGCACAAUGGGCGCAAGCCUGAUGCAGCCAUGCCGCGUGUGUGAAGAAGGCCUUCGGGUUGUAAAGCACUUUCAGUCGGGAGGCGUUACCAACAGAAGAAGCACCGGCUAACUCCGUGCCAGCCGCCGCGGUAAUAC